rnacentral:tmRNA from 1 species
GGGGAUGAUCGGUUUCGACAGUGCGUCUAAGCCGGAAAGAAGCGGGUCGAGGAUGCAGGGUUAUCUCGUAAACGCCCCUUGCAAACCAAUAGGUGCCAACGUAAAGCGCACCGACUUCGCUCUCGCUGCCUAAUAAGCCGCCAUCGAAGUCCGUCAGACCGAGUUCCGCCUUCGGCUCGGAUCCUGGCGCCAUUUAGAGGGCUUGCUACGAACUUGUGUGUCAGGGGUUCGCGGGACAUUAACUGAUACUGGGCUCGUCGACUUAGGUGUUAGUGACAAAUGUCGGGGCCGAGUAAAACGUCUUCACUGACUACACCCGUAGAAGAUUCCGACUGUUCGUAUUGGACGGGGGUUCAAUUCCCCCCAUCUCCACCA